CCUCCUGCGUCAGCCUCCUGAGUGCUGGGAUUACAGGCCUGUGCCACCAUGCCUGGCUCCCAUGCCAACUUAUUGCAUCCUGUCCUCUGGGAACUCUGUCUACCCAUGGACCUCAGCUCCACAAGCCAUGAGCUGGUCUGAUGUGGAUUUCUCCAAACAGCCCUGAGGGAGCCACAUCCUGCCCGCUGGCUAGUGUCCACCAGGAACCCUUGAGUCAGGCUGACCACAGGACACAGCUUUCUAAGCUCUCUCUCCUCUCAUGGGCACAGCACUUUAGACACUAAAAGUGCUUUAUGCCCCAUGUGAAUGCCACAGCAGCCUUGGGAGGAUGCACAUUUGCAGAUUGCACAGCUCACUUUGGGCUUCAAAAGGCCUGGCAGUCUGGCUAAGGUCAUGUGGGCACUGGGCAGGGUUGUCAUUUGAACCCUGGUCUCUUGAUUCCAUGUCACUAGGCAGGAAUGGGAACACAGGUGGCAAUGACCUCAGAACAUGGUAUUACCAGCCCCAGUAUGCUACCAGAAGACAAAAUCUCAGAGACAUUGAUUCAAUCAACAAGUAUUUCUUAAACACUAGCUGUGUGCUGGCCACAAACCUCAGCACUGGGUGUCCAGCUGUGAAGAAGCAGAUUUGGUUCAUGCUGCCUCGCACCUGUGUUAGGUGUUGGAGACAGACACUGAAACAGACUUUGUGCUGAAAGACCUCCCACCAGGUACCCAGUGUCCAGUCCAUAUGCUCUGACAAAGCCCAGGGCUGAGGGGCUGGAGAUAGGCGCUCUGGUCCCAGUGUUGCCCCUCACUGGCUGUAUGACAUUGGCAAGGUUUCCCAUCUGUGAAACCUGCAAGCCAGUGGCUCCUCACAUGUUUUCUGAGGUUCCUGCCCAACUUCUGGGGCAAGUGGUUAAUGAUUUCCUGGCAUGAAUAAUUACCCUGAUUUGGUGUUUUCUGAAACCAAACUUUUAGUAGGCACUUGGAACCGGAAAGAGGCUUCUGAGUCCCCUGACCUGAGCCCCUCACUAAUCAGGAAUGAAUGCCUUAGCCUCAGUGCUCCUGGGAAGGGAUGGGCAUUGCUGUGCACUUCCGGAGAUGGGGCUCUCACUGCUUCCACACACCGCAGAGCUCCCUGCGCAGUGACGUGCUGGUAAAUGAUUAACAUCUGGCUCUCCAAAGGGGGGGGCUGACUUGUAGUAUUUGCUGAUGGCCAUCGUGUAAAUACUCCCACCACAGCCCCAUUUCAAGCAGCUAGUCUAACAUCAACCUGCUCACACUUCCUGAAAAAUUGAGUCAGCUCUUAGGAGCUGGUCGAAGCAGGCUACAACCCACCAAUGCUCCGGCCCAGAGAAGUCUCAUCCAGCUUUACUUGCUGGAAAGUUCUUGCUGGUAACGAGCACGACACCUGAUUGGCCAGGCACUCGGGUCUGUAGGGAUUCUGACCUCUGAAGGCCUUCAGAGAUCUCCUUGUAAUGGGAGAUGAUCCUGGGGGCAGUGAACACUGGGGAGACCCACCUUCCUCUGCCUUUCAGCCACAUUUUCUCUUCUGCUUCUCUCCUAAGUAUUUGUUGGCUUCUGUGACCCUAUAGGUACUAUGGCAACAGGGACCAAAUCUCAGCUCCCAGCCUACUCCCUCCCUACCUGCAUCGUCCAGGAGGCUGGAAUCAGAAGCCACCCCUCCCCAAGCCUGACCUGACCUGUACCACUUCCCUUCCUGCAGCUGCAGGCCCCCCCUCCUCUAGCUUAUCACUCGCUUUGGCACUUAUCACUUUCUACCUUGGAUUACAGCUAUUUGUGUACAUGCCUUAUCUCCCUGCCAGACAGAGAGGCAGCGCUGGCUUGUUGAAAGAGCUUGGACUUUGGAGCCGAAUGACCUGGCCCCAGCAUCCCAGCCCUGCAGGCACUCAAGCAGCUCAUACCAACUUUGCAAGCCUCAGUUUCCUUUAUCUGUGAAGUGGUACUGCUGAUAACUCCUUCCAAGAUCUGGCGUGAGGAUGAAACUGACUCUGAGAGUUUACUGAGGACUUAGUAUGCCAAGGGCUGCCCAGAUGUGUAUGGCCUCCUACACUCUUCACAGUGCCUGCUGAAUCCUGCUUUACAGGUGAGCAAACCAUCCCUUGCUACUGUGUGGUAAUGAUGGAGACUGACCAAACCCUGGACAGAAGCUGACCAGAAUCCCUUGCUGUACAGAGGGGAGACUGAAACCCAGACAGAGGAAGGGACAAAAUCAAAGCCAGAUAGACAGUUGGCUGGCAUCCAUCCCCUCCUUCCCUGUCUACAGCCAGCUGUGUUCUCAGAAAGACUGGAAUCCUUUGUGGACCCCACGGCAUUGGCGCAAGAGUCCAGGGCUCCCCUUUGCCACAGAGCAGGGGACUGGACAUCUGUGAAAACCCCAACUUCCGGUAAUCAUGGAGGCAUCUAUGCCAGCCUCACCUUGGAACAGCCUGUAAACUUGGGCAUAAACACAAUUAAAAUUUUUACUACAUUAUAUUUCAUACAUAUAAAAGACUAUUUGUGAGCUAUGAAACACAUCACAAAAGUUCAUGACUGCUCUGCUUCAGAACUGGAUUAUUAUGGACACCAGGGGAGAUCUACUGCCCCAGCCCCUACUUCCUGCAGGGAACCACUACCCCAAUUUUGUUAACUGCUCUCUUCCUCUUUUUAAUAACAGUUUUAGCACAGGUGUGGGCAUCCUUUUGAGACCUUGCAUCUCCUGUAUUCCCAGAAAUGCCUUUUCUGAAAGGACAGAGGGAGAUUGCGAGGAUCAAUCUGCACCCCACCCCAAGUGCCCUUUCCCUGCAGUGCCACUCAGUACCCAGCUUGGCCUCCUCAGUCAAGUGACUGCUGUGAAACCAGACACUUCUUCCUGGCACAGCCAGCAGGAGCAGAGCAGCUGGACCUUCCCUGAGCAAGGCAGGUGACCAAGUGUUUGCAUAAGCCGGUGUGGCCACCUGGGGGCCCUUCCCAUCUGGGCUGCUCCAGAACUCACCCUUUCCAGCAGUAACCUCAAACAUUCAUUUCAGGGGGUCUUUCCCUGUUGGAUCUGCCACAGUAAUUGGGUGUCCUUCUCUCAGCCCUUGUCCUAGGGCAGUGGCCAGUACAAUCCCAAGUGCAGCUGAGCUUUGGACCCAUAGCUGGUGUUCCCAGAGGGCCAGGACAGAAUCCUAUCCUGGGCAAUCCUGUGUUUGCCUUUACCCAUUUGCUGGGUUGAUGAGUGAAUGCAAGCCACUUGUGUAGGUUGUUCAGUGCAAGUGUCUGUCGUGGGUGUGACUGCAGGAGCGCACACAUCCGUACACACGCUCACCCUCACCAGUGUAUGGCACAGCCCCACAGCCACCUGUCUGUGCAGUGUGCAGGGUCACUUCUCUUCUCUAUUUUUGGCUCUCCAUCCUAGAGAGGUUUGUUUUCUCCAUGGAAAUCACACAGUGCACUCUUUUGGGGUACCUGCUGAGUGCAGGGCUUGGAAGGUUAGGGUAGAUCACUGUGGGGCACCCUUCCACCCCAUCUUCCUGUCCCAGAGUCUCUGCACCCAGUUACCCCUGCCCCCACAUCCCAGAAGAGGACCCUGAGGUCCCGAGGCCAGACAGGCAGCUGUGGAGCCAGCAGUGGGGAUGGGACAGUGUGUUAGUUACUUUUCUCUUGUUGUUGAGACAAAAUACCUGACACCCAAAGUUAAAAG